GAUGAACGCUGGCGGCGUGCUUAACACAUGCAAGUCGAACGGAAAGGCCCUGCUUUUGUGGGGUGCUCGAGUGGCGAACGGGUGAGUAACACGUGAGUAACAUGCCCUUGACUUUGGGAUAACUUCAGGGAACUGGGGCUAAUACCGGAUAGGAGCUCCUGCUGCAUGGUGGGGGUUGGAGAGUUUCGGCGGUUGGGGAUGGACUCGAGGCUUAUCAGCUUGUUGGUGGGGUAGGGGCGUACCAAGGCUUUGACGGGUAGCCGGCCUGAGAGGGUGACCAGCCACAUUGCUCCUGCGGGACGCCCCAGUCGCCUACGUUCCGCAGCAGUCGAGAAUAUGGCGCAGUGGCCGCGAGCCUGUGACAGCGACCCCCCGUGCGUGAUGCCGGCCUUCUAGUGGUAAACCACUGUCUCCGUUAACGUGGCCGUAGUGACGGUACUUGGUCAAAAAGCACCGGCUAACUACGUG
rnacentral:rRNA from 1 species